CACACAUGCAGAGACACUGAGAUGGUACUCUGUUAAGAUGUGAUUAGGCUGACUGUCAGUUGUGAAGGGUCCUAUCAAGGUUCACUGCACGCCAAGAGCACACAAACGACAUUCUUAGCCAGCCUGCUUGACAGACCACUAGUGGAGGAAUGUCAAAGCUGGAAAUAACAGCCGGCCCUGACUUACAGCUGGACCGACAACGAAUGGGGCCUCGCCAGCUGGAAAAAAAAAAGGCAAGAGGGGAUAGACCUGAAGAGCAUGUUGAAAACAGGAAAGAGGAUCAAGCUUUGUUACUUUUUAACCACGGACUGCUCACAAGGAAGUUUCACCAUGUUCACCACCUGCACUGCCACUAAAGGCUUGAACUCACUGUGCCACUCACGUGUUUUGGACUCCAGGUCACUCUGCUGAAGAUCAGACACUGUUGGAUUUCCCCUGGUUGUGCCGGACAGAGAUCACCAAAACCUCCCUGGGUCCAAAUGAUACAGCACCUGUAAAUAAAAAUACUUUCUCUUUGCAAAACUCUCUGUGUGAGCUUACUCGGUUCCGCUUUUCAGGUACCGGUAAGUCUUUUCAUUGUGUCAGCAUAUAGCCCUGUGGACCAGCAGGUACCAGUUAUCAACCACAUUUUUUUUUUGCUAGAGGAGACCAAAUAGUCUUUCACAAGAGCUUGAAAUUUUAUUAAAGUUGGGUAUUUUCCAGGUACAUAGCUCAUUUCUAUACCACAAGUAAAUUAUGAGAAUGAUGUAUGUAUCAAAAAUGCUUCUGGGGGACAGUUACUCUGUGGGUCUGGGGCUCUGCUUUGUGUAAAUARGCAGUGCUUUGUACAAGUGAGCGUUUAUGCAACUCCACAUGGCUACCACAGGAUAUUAAAAGUUUCUCAAACAUGCAUGAAUGAGUCAAAUCAACAUUGUGUGUGUUUUUGAUGAGGAAAUGAUAUWAUAAAGYGAUAURAAGCUAAACAAAGUUGMUUUUGAA